AAUUGUCAAUGGUAGGUAAUUUAGCUCUCCUGUUUUUGAAUGGCAUAGCCAAUAAAGCAUACUUAAAGAAAGCAAUUAAAUAUAGCACCUUACUAACCCCAAAGUUUAAAAAAACCAAACAGUUUCAAUGGAAUUUUUUUUAACCAGCUCCAGUGCACAGCUGUGUUACUGCUGCAGAAGCACAGAGCCUACUGAGACUGUGCUGAAAGGGCUGUUCUGAUUCUGCCACUGAGAGACAAAAUUGCCACUUAGACUCCAGCUGCAAAUGAACGAGACAAAAAGAGAAUGAAAUUGCUUCUAAUUUUGGACAGCAUGGUUUGUUUAUAUCCUAUAUGCCAAGCAGCUAUUUUAUUACUGUAAUUGCAACAGCUCCUAGAGCUCUCAUCUGCAAUACGUAAGGACCAUAUAAGCAGAAGAAAAAAGACAGCUCUGACCUAAAGAUCUCCUCUUCAUAAGAACCUCCAUUUAGAAGUCUGUUAGCUGCUGAUGAUUAUUCCCCACUUAAAAGCAAUCCUCCCUGGAGAAUGAUGGAAAAUAAACCAAUGUGAUAGUCCAGAAUGUUGGGUUUCAGUAUUCUCCAUGAAACAUUAGGAGCCUUUUCAAACAAGCAAUAUUAAUCACUACCCUAUCGUGAAAAAUCAGCUCAGACCUCAAUCCAGGCCAAAGAUGUAGGAAGGGUCCUCCAGAGAAUUGGCCGGAUGCUGCCUUGUUUUUAUCUCUCCCCAUUGCUGCUGACCAGUGUGCCCAGUAUCACCAGUGUGUGCUGCACCAGCAGCUCACAUUCCCUGACCUCGGUGAGUUCACGUUGAUUCUGUUUUGAGCUGAGAGAGACAGACAGAGAGGGAAACACACAUGCUAGUACUGAGUCUCUUGUCUGCUGACCUAAUAAAGGAACUAACAUUAAGAAAUGAGAAAAUCCAGCUGGUCUGAUUUCUUGCUAGACAAUCUACCAGCCGUGAAAAAAAUGCUCAAGUCUCAGGAGAUGUGCAGAGCCUGACAGUGUACCACAGACUGAUUACUUUCUGGACUCCACUGCUCUGCACUUUGACUGCAAGUGACUGAAUAAGUCAUUUGGUGGGAGAGAUGGCGAAGGCCAAGUAGAAGACAGUGGUUCGAAAAAGAAACCUGUUCCAAGCCAGAGAUUACUAUUUCCUGGAGUCUCAGCAUGACAGACCCACAACCUCAGGAGAAUUAACAUCACUGAGUGACUGCAUUCAAACACUACCAGGACGUGCAGCAAAUGCCUUGGCAUUUGGAAGUUAAGCAUUUAAGCAAACUUACCUCAAUUCAUACUGGAAGGCAACUACCUUUGUGCAGGCCUAGAGCAAUGCUGACUGCAAGGCUCAAUAUCUUAUCAGUAAAUAGCAGCAACACAGUGCUGGAUAAGAGCGCGCAUGGAGAUGAUGCCUUUGCUGGGAACACAGUGGGCAUACAGAAAGUAGAACAGACCCAGGAAGAAGGCAUUUUCAGCUUUCUUUUUAAUAGUGCCGAAGUUGUUCCUCUUACUAUAAAUUCCAAGAGGCCUCUGGUAGGCUGGUACUACAGCGAGAAGUGGAAAGAGAGGAAACUGAGAAAUUAACAUCAGGGAGUACACCAGGCUGCGUCCAAGAGGUGAGAAUUGUGAGACUGUCACUUGACUUGCAAACCCAAUGUUUCUAAAAAAUAAUUUGGAAGCACAGAUGUUUAACUCAGUGAAACAAAGGACUGCCAAAGGCUGAAAGAUCACCAAAAAGUUAGAAUAAAAGCUGCAAUUAUGUACAAAAAGUGCAUUUUUCAUUUUCACUCUGCAACAAAUUUCAAUAGCCAAGAUGAUAAUUUCACGAGAACAUGCAGCAUGGCCAAAGGAGUCCCCACACUAGGUUUCAACCAAAUUACUGCUAACAAUACCUUGUACUUGUGCAUAGGCUUUCUAAAUCUUUAAACUGAAUUCUUCUAAAGAAAAUAAGAUUUAAUGCAUUUUCACCAGUAUUACAGGAAAUAAAAUAUCAUUUUCUAUCUUUCCAGAAACAGAAAGCCUCUGUACUCUAUUCCAGGAUGUACACAGUGUAUAGACAUGUCACUGGAUGACUUUACACAACCAACCACUUCAUAGGCAUACAGCUGGCCCCUUCAAAGUGCUCUGCAGUCCAAACAAAAGCUUACUUUGGGGGAUCUCAUUAGACAGUGCAUCAGACAGUCCAUCUAACAAACACUUCAGGAGAAAGCCCUUGUAUUGAAUUACAAAUUACUGUCCUGUAAUGUAUGGUGCAGAGCUUCAGAGGUAAGCUCAAGCUGCCUUUAGAGCAUGAGGAGUUCAUCUGGCAGAACACCAUACUAACACUGAUAAAUUGUUUCUGAUAUUUGAGAGAACAGCUGGGUUCCUUUAUCAAUUUUUAUAAGGUAUUAUCUUGGUUAUUGCCACGGUAUUACCUGUGGCUUCAUUAGCUCCUCCAUGUUCAGUUCUUAUCUUUUUACUUCCAUGGCAGACAACUAAAAAGCCCAGCAGUGCAGAGAGAAGCUGUAGUUAGUGAGGACAUGACAAUCUUUCCACAGAAAACUAUGUUUGAUCUUGUUUCUUUCCAUGAUGUUUUCACAGCCACUGAUGACCCCAAGGCAACAUUAAGAGUGUAAAAAUGGAAUGUGAACAGUGAGGGGAGAUGGAAUCCCAAAUAAAUAUAUAUUUUAAAUUCCAAUUUUCUGAGUCUAUUAAGGUAGAGUAAUAUUGAUGUAGCCAUAGCAACUUAAGGUAAUAGAUUUAUCAAACUUGCUUUGCUACUUCAAUUUAAAAUGCAUGAUGUGAACACUGGAUCAAUUGUUAUGUGACUCUAAGCAGCCACCCGAUCUUGCUAUGUAUUUUGAAUCCAUCUAGCUGUAAUAGGUACAUAAGUUCUUCUUAUCUGCAAUGAAUUCCUGUAAAUCAUACAAGUUUUUUUUUUGUAUGUUUCAGCUGAGACCAGAUAAGACAGCAGAUAACUCCAGACAGAGCGUUCCACACUUGUCUCAGCCUCCCUGCUAGAAAACUACAGGAUUUUAAAUAUAUAUUCUUGUAUUAUAGAAACAAAAUAAACAGCUGUAAAAAUAGCCAAGUCAUCAGGCUUUCAACCUCCAGCUCUAGUAUGAGCUGCCAACACCCUUACAGUUUUCAUUUCUAUGUGGUUUCUCAGAACUGGAAGCAGGCUACAUCUCAGGACGUAAUUUUACUAAGUUGUUUUCCUGAUACUGUCCCUGGAAAGACAAAUGGCAUCUACAAACAUUAAGGAUCAUUCCUACACUUCUUUUCCAAUGUGCACACAUUAUUAUUCACGUGAGGUGAUACCUACAACACUGUCAAUCAACUGAGUCUGGAUUUCUUUUUUUCCUGUGUCAAAGAUAACAGAUAAAUCAUCCAAAUGACUUUAAGCCUUUACAUCACAUUAACAGAGGAUUCACAUCAAAUUAAUAGAGGAUAACGUCUUCUCCCAGUUAAAGGUAGCACUCAGUAUGAUUUAAUUUGUAUUUUAAGGACUUCAUUCCUCACUCCUUCAUUCCUCUUAAGUUUGAGAUGGCAACAUUAACAUUUAUAUAAUCACAUAAAAUCAUAAUCACAUAAAAUCUGCAAAAACUGCAGCUUGGGUUGAAAAGUGAAAAAGGCGAAAGAAAUUUGAAGAAAAUGCUAUGCUACAGCAUCCACUUCAUAACAAACAAGACUAUAUGACACAUGAACAACUAAUACACUGUUUUACUAAUAUAUUUGUUGCUUUCACCAGGAGAAUGGCUACAGGUUGAUAAUUAUGCUAGCAGCACCUUGCAAGCAAGGACUGUUCCGUAGGUCACGUCAAAUCUGUCCUUCCAAUGCUAACAUUGCACUGAAGGUUCUGCAGAUUCAAACAGAGAAGCAGAGCUAGCACACGUGCACAUCCAGUGCGUGUGGAAUUUUUCCAGCAUAACUUAAUUGCCAGAAAGUAAUGCUAGUCAUUAACCAAUAAUGUAAUUCAAGGUAUCUCUGCUUUAUAUACACAUUUAAUCCAUCCCUCUCCAAUGAAAAGCACUGUGGCUUCACUAGUUGUCUUGGUGUCAGUGAAGCCAACUGAUUCCUACUUCUGGAAAAGAACAUCAUUGGAAAAUUCACUCUGCCCAAUGUGACAAAAGACAGAAUCCAUCUAUACCACAUAAUAGAAACAGCUAAGUGCUGCUUUUUCACCUCUUCUUGAGCUGUCUGCCCUAUCUUUGGCAUAAACUCUAAAGUUUGAAUGAUCUGAAAGUGUAAUGUAAUCAAACUUCUUCACACUUGGGUUAGAAGGAUAUAAAACAAAUAACUUGAGCAGUAUGGUAGAGUAUAAUCCCUGGGGAAUUCUAAGCAUGCUUCUCAAGUAGAACUUGUAAUGAGGUUGUGAGCCCUUGACUUUGAAAAGAAUGCUGAUUAAAAAGUAGAAAAAGUACUUCAGUAACUCAGUUGCCAAGUAAGAGUAUGAUUAAAGGUACUAUCAACUUGACAUUCACAAUAAAGCACUGAAUGUGGACUAAGUGGUAUCUUAGUGAAUGUGCUGAACAACUUCAUUUUCUUUCUUGUGAAACCAAUUUCAAAUUUAGUCCUUGCGUGAGCUCUCAGAAAAACUCUACACACUGGCAGAAAGUUUCUGUAAUUUAAAUACUGACAACUGUGAAAUUCAGAGCUAGUCUGCAAAA